AACGUAGGAGACAAACGUUAUCCGGAGUUACUGGGCGUAAAGGGCGUGUAGGUGGUUUUGUAAGUCUGGCGUGAAAUAUCUCGGCUUAACCGAGGCAGGUCGUCGGAUACUGCAAGACUAGAGGACGGUAGAGGCGUGUGGAAUUCCGGGUGUAGUGGUGAAAUGCGUAGAGAUCCGGAGGAACACCAGUGGCGAAGGCGACACGCUGGGCCGUACCUGACACUGAUGCGCGACAGCAUGGGGAGCAAACAGG
rnacentral:rRNA from 1 species